rnacentral:sRNA from 1 species
GCAACAAUCAAGCGGCUCUGACGAA